rnacentral:rRNA from 1 species
UCCCGGCAGUCCAAGUCGCAGCCACAAUUAUUGGGUCUAAAACAUCCGUAGCUUGCUUUGCAAGUCUGUUGUGAAAUUCUUUCUCUUAAGGGAAGAGAUUGCAAUAGAUACUGCUUAGCUAGAGACCGGUGGGCGUAAGAAGUACAUUUGAGGUAGUGGUAGAAUAUGUUAAUCUCAAGUGGACUAACGAUUAGCGAAGGCAUCUUACGAUGACGGUUCUGACAGUGAGGGAUGAAGGCUAGGGG